rnacentral:rRNA from 1 species
UACGAAGGGUGCAAGCGUUACUCGGAAUUACUGGGCGUAAAGCGUGCGUAGGUGGUGAGUUAAGUCUGAUGUGAAAUCCCCGGGCUCAACCUGGGAAUGGCAUUGGAUACUGGCUCGCUGGAGUGCGGUAGAGGGUGGUGGAAUUCCCGGUGUAGCAGUGAAAUGCGUAGAUAUCGGGAGGAACACCUGUGGCGAAAGCGGCUCACUGGACCGCAACUGACGCUGAGGCGCGAAAGCUAGGGGAGCAAACAGG